rnacentral:rRNA from 1 species
GACGAACGCUGGCGGCGUGCUUAACACAUGCAAGUCGAACGGUGAAGCGCCUUCCUUUUUGGCGGGUGUGGAUGAGUGGCGAACGGGUGAGUAACACGUGAGUAACCUGCCCUCUUCUUCUGGAUAACCGCAUGAAAGUGUGGCUAAUACGGGAUACUCCGGGCCUGUCGCAGGAUGGGUUCGGGGAAGAUAGUGCUUCGGUGGGGGAUGGGCUCGCGGCCUAUCAGCUUGUUGGUGGGGUGCUGCCCUACCAAGGCGGUGAAGGGUAGCCGGCCUGAGAGGGUGGACGGUCACAGUGGUGCUGAGACGCGGCGCAGACUCCUACGGGAAGCAGCAGUGGGGAAUGUUGCACGAUGGGAGCAAGCCUGAUGCAGCGCCGCCGCGUGGGAGAUGGAGGCCGUCGGGUUGUGAACCUCUUUCGCGAGAGAAGCGGGCCUGCCUCGUUUGUGGGUGGGUUGACGGUAGCUGGAUAAGAAGCGCCGGCUAACUACGUG